rnacentral:rRNA from 1 species
CCCUUAGAUGUUCUGGGCCACACGCGCGUUACACUGAUGAAGCCAGCGAGUAUAUCGCCUUCACCGGAAGGUGCGGGUAAUCUUGUGAAACCUCAUCGUGCUGGGGAUAGACCAUUGCAAUUAUUGGUCUUGAACGAGGAAUUCCUAGUAAGCAUGAGUCAUCAACUCGUGCUGAUUACGUCCCUGCCCUUUGUACACACCGCCCGUCGCUACUACCGAUUGAAUGGUUUAGUGAGAUCUCGGGAUUGGAGACGUUGCGCCGCAAGGCACAUCGUCCUCGAGAACUUGAUCAAACUUGAUCAUUUAGAGGAAGUAAAAGUCGUAACA